AUAUUUCCAUAGAAUAAGCAUUGAGCAAGACUCGUCUAAUUUAUAGAUAGAUCUAGAUUUAGGUUGUUAGUUCGACUAGUAGAUCUAUAAAUCUAAAUGUGCUUAGACCUAGUGUAGCUUACUCGGUUGCGAACGGAGUUUUAGUUUUGCUAGUCAUCUAGGCUAGUGUAAGGUAAUCAGAAUAAUUUCAAGUUUAACAGGUUUCUGAGUUUCUAACACACUGAUGACACUGUGACUG